ACGGUUACUCACCCAGUCUGACGGGGAACUUGCGUUCUUUGUUUGGGAUCAGAAUGACCGGCACCUUGGAAGUAAAACUGGAGGCUGAGGACAACAAAACCUGUUGGUAGUAGUACUAGUAGCACAACCCUAACUAGCGGUAGUAAUAAUACUAGUCUUAACACUAA